GAUUAAGUUAUUAAGGGCGCACGGUGGAUGCCUUGGCACUAGAAGCCGACGAAGGACGUUACUAACGACGAUAUGCUUUGGGGAGCUGUAAGUAAGCUUUGAUCCAGAGAUUUCCGAAUGGGGAAACCCAGCACGAGUUAUGUCGUGUUAUCGAUAUGUGAAUACAUAGCAUAUCUGAAGGCAGACGCGGAGAACUGAAACAUCUUAGUACCCGCAGGAAGAGAAAGAAAAAUCGAUUCCCUGAGUAGCGGCGAGCGAAACGGGAAGAGCCCAAACCAAUGAGCUUGCUUGUUGGGGUUGUAGGACACUCUAUACGGAGUUACAAAAGAACAGACUAGACGAAUCAUCUGGAAAGAUGAAUCAAAGAAGGUAAUAAUCCUGUAGUCGAAAGUUUGUUCACUCUUGAGUGGAUCCUGAGUACGACGGAACACGAGAAAUUCCGUCGGAAUCUGGGAGGACCAUCUCCCAAGGCUAAAUACUCUCUAGUGACCGAUAGUGAACCAGUACCGUGAGGGAAAGGUGAAAAGUACCCCGGAAGGGGAGUGAAAUAGAACUUGAAACCGUGUGCUUACAAGUAGUCAGAGCCCGUUAAUGGGUGAUGGCGUGCCUUUUGUAGAAUGAACCGGCGAGUUACGAUUUGAUGCAAGGUUAAGCAGUGAAUGUGGAGCCGUAGCGAAAGCGAGUCUGAAUAGGGCGUUGAGUAUUUGGUCGUAGACCCGAAACCAGGUGAUCUACCCAUGACCAGGUUGAAGUUCAGGUAACACUGAAUGGAGGACUAGAACCGACUUACGUUGAAAAGUGAGCGGAUGAGUUGUGGGUAGCGGAGAAAUUCCAAUCGAACCUGGAGAUAGCUGGUUCUCUCCGAAAUAGCUUUAGGGCUAGCCUCAAGUGAUGAUUAUUGGAGGUAGAGCACUGUUUGGACGAGGCGCCUUAUCGGGUUACCGAAUUCAGACAAACUCCGAAUGCCAAUCAAUUUAACUUGGGAGUCAGAACGCGGGUGAUAAGGUCCGUGUUCGAAAGGGAAACAGCCCAGACCACCAGCUAAGGUCCCAAAAUAUAUGUUAAGUGGAAAAGGAUGUGGCGUUGCCCAGACAACUAGGAUGUUGGCUUAGAAGCAGCCAUCAUUUAAAGAGUGCGUAAUAGCUCACUAGUCGAGUGACACUGCGCCGAAAAUGUACCGGGGCUAAACAUAUUACCGAAGCUGUGGAUUGUCCGUAAGGACAAUGGUAGGAGAGCGUUCUAAGGGCGUUGAAGCAUGAUCGCAAGGACAUGUGGAGCGCUUAGAAGUGAGAAUGCCGGUGUGAGUAGCGAAAGACGGGUGAGAAUCCCGUCCACCGAUUGACUAAGGUUUCCAGAGGAAGGCUCGUCCGCUCUGGGUUAGUCGGGUCCUAAGCUGAGGCCGAUAGGCGUAGGCGAUGGAUAACAGGUUGAUAUUCCUGUACCACCAUUAUUCGUUUUAAGCGAUGGGGGGACGCAGUAGGAUAGGCGAAGCGUACGAUUGGAUUGUACGUCCAAGCAGUGAGAUUGAGUGUUAGGCAAAUCCGGCACUCUUAAGAUUGAGCUGUGAUGGGGAGAGGAAAUUGUUUCCUCGAGUCGUUGAUUUCACACUGCCAAGAAAAGCCUCUAGCUAGAAUUGUGGUGCCCGUACCGCAAACCGACACAGGUAGUCAAGAUGAGAAUUCUAAGGUGAGCGAGCGAACUCUCGUUAAGGAACUCGGCAAAAUGACCCCGUAACUUCGGGAGAAGGGGUGCUCUUUAGGGUUAACGCCCAGGAGAGCCGCAGUGAAUAGGCCUCAAGCGACUGUUUAUCAAAAACACAGGUCUCUGCUAAACCGUAAGGUGAUGUAUAGGGGCUGACGCCUGCCCGGUGCUGGAAGGUUAAGAGGAGUGGUUAGCUUCUGCGAAGCUACGAAUCGAAGCCCCAGUAAACGGCGGCCGUAACUAUAACGGUCCUAAGGUAGCGAAAUUCCUUGUCGGGUAAGUUCCGACCCGCACGAAAGGCGUAACGAUUUGGGCACUGUCUCAACGAGAGACUCGGUGAAAUCAUAGUACCUGUGAAGAUGCAGGUUACCCGCGACAGGACGGAAAGACCCCGUGGAGCUUUACUGUAGUCUGAUAUUGAAAUUCGGCACAGCUUGUACAGGAUAGGUAGGAGCCUGAGAUACGUGAGCGCUAGCUUACGUGGAGGCGUUGGUGGGAUACUACCCUCGCUGUGUUGGAUUUCUAACCCGCACCAUUUAUCAUGGUGGGAGACAGUGUCAGAUGGGCAGUUUGACUGGGGCGGUCGCCUCCUAAAGAGUAACGGAGGCGCUCAAAGGUUUCCUCAGAAUGGUUGGAAAUCAUUCAUAGAGUGUAAAGGCAUAAGGAAGCUUGACUGCGAGACUUACAAGUCGAGCAGGGUCGAAAGACGGACUUAGUGAUCCGGUGGUUCCGCAUGGAAGAGCCAUCGCUCAACGGAUAAAAGCUACCCCGGGGAUAACAGGCUUAUCUCCCCCAAGAGUUCACAUCGACGGGGAGGUUUGGCACCUCGAUGUCGGCUCAUCGCAUCCUGGGGCUGUAGUCGGUCCCAAGGGUUGGGCUGUUCGCCCAUUAAAGCGGUACGCGAGCUGGGUUCAGAACGUCGUGAGACAGUUCGGUCCCUAUCCGUCGUGGGCGUAGGAAAUUUGAGAGGAGCUGUCCUUAGUACGAGAGGACCGGGAUGGACAUACCUCUGGUGUACCAGUUGUCGUGCCAACGGCAUCGCUGGGUAGCUAUGUAUGGACGGGAUAAGUGCUGAAAGCAUCUAAGCAUGAAGCCCCCCUCAAGAUGAGAUUUCCCAACUUCGGUUAUAAGAUCCCUCAAAGAUGAUGAGGUUAAUAGGUUCGAGGUGGAAGCAUAGCGAUAUGUGCAGCUGACGAAUACUAAUCGAUCGAAGACUUAAUCAA
rnacentral:rRNA from 1 species